rnacentral:lncRNA from 1 species
CCGAGUCCGGGCUGGAGCGUGAUCUGGAAUCCGGCUCUCUUGAAACAGCACCGCGGAGGAUUCGGAUCCGGUUUGGCCUCCAUGAAAGACUGGAGUGACCUUCACUGAAAUGAUACAAGGGGCCCAGGGAGCUGCGGCGCUCAGAAUGCGGUGACAGCGCCGCCUCGCGUCCCUUCCCUGACCUGCUCCCGGCGGACGCGGAGAAGUUUGUUGGCCUGGAGGCUGGAAUAUACCGGGGAUCAAAUGCAGAGAAUGGAGAAAAGAGGGAAGGAUGGGGGGACGUGUUGAAGAAAUGAGGGAAGAGAUAGGAAGAAAAGGGGAGAGAAAAAGUAAAGGAGAGUUUUUUUGUUUUUUGUUUUUUUUUUUUGAGACGGAGUCUUGCUCUGUCGCCCAGGCUGGAGUGCAGUGGCGCGAUCUUGGCUCACUGCAAGCUCCGCCUCCCGGGUUCAGGGCAUUCUGCUGCCUCAGCCUCUGGAGUAGCUGGGACUACAGGCUCCUGCCACCACGCCCGACUAAUUUUUUGUAUUUUUAGUAGAGACGGGGUUUCACUGUGUUAGCCAGGAUGGUCUCGAUCUCCUGACCUCGUGAUCUGCCUGCCUUGGCCUCUCAAAGUGCUGGGAUUACAGGCGUGAGCCACCGCACCCGGCCGGAGAGAGAAAAUUUAAAAGACGUAGUUUCAUUAUUUCUUUUAUUUUUGCCCUUUAUCUAGUUUUACUUAUGAACAUUUUUACCACAAAUUUCUCUCUCUCUAAAUCUGUAAAUAUGCUGCUAUUAUUGUUAUUUCAGAGCCUGUGAGGGUAAGUUGCAGACAGCAUGACCCUCUACCUCCAGAUGUGUCAGGGUGUGUCUCCUGGGCACAAGAACAGGGUUUUUGUUUUGUUUUGUUUCACAUAAGCAAAGUACAAGUCUCAAAGAGGAUAAUAUUUUUAAAUCAUCUUAUUGGGACAUACUUUGCAUGCAAUAAACUGCAUCUAUUUAAAAUGUUCAACUUGUUGAAUUUUAGCUGUUGUACACACCCACAUCUCCACUACCACAGUGAAGAUAAAGAAGAUUUUAAUCGUCUCCCAAAGAACAGCUACACGAUAAAAUUCUAUGUUGUCAUUAAAAAGAGUAAGAGCAAUUUUAAGUAUUGCUAUGAAAAGAUGUGCCCAGCAUACUUUUAACCUUUUUUAAAAGGUUAAGGAGGCUGGGCACAGUGGCUCAUACCUGUAAUCCCAGAACUUUGGGAGGCUAUGGCAGGCAGAUAACCUGAGGUCAGAAGUUCAAGAUCAGCCUGGCCAACAUGGUGAAACCCUGUCUCUACUGAAAAUGCAAAAAUUAGCCGGGCGUGGUGGUGGGUGCCUGUAGUUCCAGCUGUUUGGGAGGCUGAGGCAGGAGAAUCGCUUGAAUCUGGGAGGUAGAGGUUAGAGUGAGCCGAGAUCAUGCCACUGCAUUCCAGCCUGGGCGAAAAUGCCACUAAUAUCACUUACAUAAUAUUAAUAUAUAUUUGAAGUAGGGGAAAACCUGGAAGAUUCCUCACCAAAGUUUUGACAGUGACUCCAGAGACUGGGAUAACUUUGUGACUUUCAUUUCCUCUUAAAUGUUGUGCCAGGGUCUGACCGGCAGACCCAGGCUGCACGAUGGAUGAAUAAUGUACUCAGACACCGAUAUUCAGUGAAAGAGUGCACCAGAGGGCCAGGCCACUCACAGAAAGGGUUGUGGCAGCUGCGUGCCCUGACUAUCUGGCCCUGUGGGCCUUUAUUCAGCACAGAUUUAAUGACAAAGGCUUUGAGUCAACACACCUGUGGGUAAUUAAUCUGGUCGCAGUCCCCCGGAGAGAGCAGUCCUACAAAUGAUCAAAGGAGCUGGGACAGUUAUAUUCAUCAGAACAGCACGGUGUCAAGGCCCUCACCCCCAGAAAGCUUAGGAGACACUGUUUUAUGGAGGAGAGUGAGAUUGGAGGAAGCCCUGACUCCAGGUCUCCUGAUCCUUCCUACACAAAGCGAAGCUGAAAAAAAGUGCAGGACACUCCAUUUCCUCCUGGGACCAGACAGGGAAGCCAGAGCCACCAUGGAUGUCAAAUUCCGGCAAGGAAACACCAGUAUAGCAAAAUCUCCACAUCACAUUUUAAAGCUCACACAAUGGCUCAAAGAGAACCCACAUCAAAAAACCGAAUUCCUAGCUCAGGUGAGAUCACCAAAGUUGCCUGUGAGGCUUCGUGGAACCUGCAGGUAGAAAGGACAUCUUUAUUUCGAGCUGCAGCCCAGUUGCUUCUGCGUCUUGGAGCCCCUUGAAAGGACCCUCUCCCUUCAACAGUACAUAGGGAGGCCAUUUCUGGGGAGAAAUGUAGACUGUCCUUAGACUCCUGAGGUUUUUACACUUGCUUGCUGACUCUGUGGACUUUGACUUCAUCAUUAAACAUCUUAUAAUGAUGUAAUUUGCUUUGACUGUAAGUGUAGAACAGGACGCUGUUCCUGAAUCAGGAAACAAGGGACUGGUGACCUGAACUGCCACCACCCUCCCUGGUGCUCAGAUGCAAUGAAAUCGUGAGGCAACAAAUCUAUGGCUAGGUAAAGGGUCAACUCCAUUUCAGCAAAUGUUUCAGAUGUUCCUUCCUGCCUAGUAAUGUUCCAGCUUUACCCCAGCCUUAAUCUUUUAAAAUGUAUAUUUUCCUUAGCGUUGAUUUUAAAGUAAUUCGUAUGUAUUUAUUACACUGGGUUUGUUGCAGUAAGCCACCUCGAAUGUUGCUGUAGAAUUAAAGUAAGCAAAUAAAUGUGUGGUUCUCCAAGGAGUUAUUGCUAACACCAUCUUAAAAAUGUAUUAACCCCAAAUCCAAUCACUUCUCACUCCUCUACUGCCUCCUCCCCAGGGCCAUCCUCUCCAAGAUAGUAAACCAGAAGGCCUUCCAGCUGGGCUGCCUGCUGACUCUCACACCCGCUGUCCAUCACCCACACAAUAGUCAGAGUGAGCAUUUCAAAUGGGAAUUAGAGCUCAUCCUCGCCUCCGCGUCCCACAGACAUGCCAGCCUCUUCCCUUCUUAGCACAGUGAAACCCCAGUCUCUCACUAUGUUUUACAGCCCCUCAUCCCUCAUCACAGGAUCCUUCUGGCCACUCUGGCCUCAUCCCACCCCUCUCGGCCCAGCUCAUUCAUCUCCACUAACACUGCUCAAUCCUGUCUCAGGCACCUCCCACUGGAACUCCCCAAGUGCACCUGCUCCCCAGGGAUCCAAAGGGAUCCAAAGGCCCCUCACACCAUUCAGGUCUCUGCUCAGACGUCCAGUGUUCAAAUUCCCAGGAACAUCUUGAUCAACAGACUAUAUCUCCUAC